CCCUUAGAUGUUCUGGGCCGCACGCGCGCUACACUGACGAAGUCAGCGAGCAUGUCCUACGCCGACAGGUGCGGGGAAUCUUGUCAAACUUCGUCGUGAUGGGGAUUGAUUAUUGAAAUUCUUGAUCAUCAACGAGGAAUUCCUAGUAAGCGCAAGUCAGCAGCUUGCGUUGAUUACGUCCCUGCCCUUUGUACACACCGCCCGUCGCUACUACCGAUUGAAUGGUUUAGUGAGAUCUUCGGAUUGGCGCCACUGCGGCUCAGCAAUGGGCUCGGUGGAUGACGAAAAGUUGAUCAAACUUGAUCAUUUAGAGGAAGUAAAAGUCGUAACA
rnacentral:rRNA from 1 species